UACGUAGGGGGCAAGCGUUGUCCGGAAUCAUUGGGCGUAAAGCGCACGUAGGCGGCCCGAAAAGUCGGAUGUGAAAGCCCUGGGCUCAACCUAGGAAGUGCAUUCGAAACUGCCGGGCUUGAGUACGGGAGAGGGUUGCGGAAUUCCCGGUGUAGAGGUGAAAUUCGUAGAUAUCGGGAGGAACACCAGUGGCGAAGGCGGCAGCCUGGACCGAUACUGACGCUGAGGCGCGAAAGCCAGGGGAGCGAACGGG
rnacentral:rRNA from 1 species